CCCAAGCCCUAGCACCUCCUGCGCCCUUCGCCUCUUCUUCUUCAUCAGUUUCUCUCUCACACAGUCACACACUCUCAAUUCAGACUGAAAAAAUGUCGCACUUCGGGAGAUCGGGCCCUCCGGACAUCAGAGAUACCUAUUCUCUCCUCGUCCUUAACAUCACUUUCCGUACCACCGCCGAUGAUUUGUUCCCGCUCUUCGAUAAGUAUGGCAAAGUCGUUGACGUGUUCAUCCCCCGCGACCGCAGGACUGGUGAUUCAAGAGGAUUUGCUUUUGUGCGAUACAAGUACCAGGAUGAAGCACAGAAGGCAGUUGAAAAGCUUGAUGGAAGAGUUGUUGAUGGAAGGGAGAUAAUGGUUCAAUUCGCAAAAUAUGGUCCAAAUGCUGAACGAAUUCACAAAGGAAAAAUAAUGGAACCAGUUUACAAGUCAAAAGGAAGGUCAAGAAGUCGCAGCCCUCGGCCAAGGUACAGGGAUGAUUACAAGGAUAGGGAUCAUCGUAGAAGUAGCCGUAGUAGAAGCAGAGGAAAGGAUCGUGAGGGUCGUCGUGGCAGGGAUAGAGAUUAUCGUCACCGAAGCAGAAGCCGCAGUGGGAGCCCUGAUUACCACAAAGACCGUGGAAGGGGCAGAUAUGAUGAUGAUAGACGCAGUCGAAGUCGGUCUUAUGGAAGUGCCUCCCCUGCUCGGCGCAGUGCAAGUCCUAGGAGGAGCCAAUCUCCCCGCAGAACCCCCCCUUCUCGUGGUGCAAGUCCUGAUGCAGUUAAACAGAAAGAUCGUUCACCAACCUCAAAAAGUCUGUCACCGCGUGGUCGACGUGCUGAUUCCCGAAGCCGAUCUCCGCACUCUGAUGCUGAUGAUUGAGUGGGCAGGAUACCAUCUCAUGGAUCUUCAGAUUGAAGCUUGGUGCAGCGCUUGUCUUGAGGAGACCAUUUCUGAUAUUCAUGUUAUGAAUGUGUAGACCUUGAUAGAACUUAAUUGGCCGAACUGGUUAUGAGUUGUGUUCGUGAAGAGUAAAUGUGGCUGAUUGGCAAGAUGAUGCAGCAGCUGUAGAUGCUGUUUGUGUGAUGCAGCAGCUGUUGAUGCUGUUUGUAUGAUGCAGCAGCUGUAGAUGCUGUUUGUAUGAUGCAGCAGCUGUUGUUGCUGUUUUUAUGAUGCAGCUGUAGAUGCUGUUUGUGUGAUGCAGCAGCUGUUGAUGCUGUUUUUACUUGCUGUUGGUUAUUUUAUUUUGUUGCUGGUGACAAACUUCAGUUUCUUUACAAAUUUCUGACCCUGUCAUGAUUGAAUCUUUGAUGUGAUCAAUUAGAAGAUGGUUCGAGCGCCUGCUUUAUUAAGUGUAGCUGGUGCAGUUGAUUCAGGAACCAGGGUCCAGUAAUGUUGAUAAUUUGCUAGAUGGAGUUUGACAUAUAAAACCAUAGUCUGGACUUGGAGGAUGACGUUUGGUCUAUUGCUUCUGCUGGUUUUAAAUUUAGCUUUUACCACAUUUGCCAAAACUAGGUGGGAAGAACGUGCAACAUGCAAGUGUUUAUCCUUCUGAUGUGUAUUAAUCUAAUAUUACUUUUUAACAUUUGUUCAAACUAAUAGAAUUUUAAUCAUGUGAA